AGGCAGCAGUGGGGAAUAUUGCACAAUGGGCGCAAGCCUGAUGCAGCCAUGCCGCGUGUAUGAAGAAGGCCUUCGGGUUGUAAAGUACUUUCAGCAGUGAGGAAGGUGGGUAUGUUAAUAGCAUAUUCAUUUGACGUUAGCUGCAGAAGAAGCACCGGCUAACUCCGUGCCAGCAGCCGCGGUAAUACGGAGGGUGCGAGCGUUAAUCGGAAUUACUGGGCGUAAAGCGCAUGCAGGUGGUUUGUUAAGUCAGAUGUGAAAGCCCGGGGCUCAACCUCGGAAUUGCAUUUGAAACUGGCAAACUAGAGUACUGUAGAGGGGGUAGAAUUUCAGGUGUAGCGGUGAAAUGCGUAGAGAUCUGAAGGAAUACCGGUGGCGAAGGCGGCCCCCUGGACAGAUACUGACACUCAGAUGCGAAAGCGUGGGGAGCAAACAGGAUUAUAUACCCUGGUAG
rnacentral:rRNA from 1 species